GAAGUUUACGGGUGGCAUGCCACCCCACGAUAAUGAAUAGAUCCGGCCUUGAUUUUGAGCUUACAAUUAUUUGGGAAGAGGAAGAAGAAAAGAACCUGAAGCCUGUACAGCUGCAUCGUUGAAGCGCUUGCUUGGCAUAGGAGGAUAUUUUCGUCCUUUAAGCUUCCAGUUUUGCUAUAUGAUACUCCACCGCCUCAUCCAUUUUCUCAACUCCAGCUGAAAGAGUCAAAGCUAAAAUGAAACUUCAACUUUCAGAAAGUGGAUGCCCGAGCUGCUGGUAUCGAACUUCUGCUAGGAAAAUUCCCAGAGUUUGUUGCAAGGACUUAUCAUCAACCACCGCACCACACGAUGUUGGAAGUUCUUCAGACAUUCGGAAAAUUAGUGAUUGUUUAGGGGCUGAGUUACUCUCAGAAACUGUAACAACCUUCUGGUUCUACUGCCACACGUUGUUGUUAUUUGCACAAUCUUCUUUGCAAGCAUUAACCAUGCGAUCGAUUUCAUUCGACUUUCUACAUAUACCAGAAUAUCUAUCGCCGUGGCAAUUAUAACAGUAUUGAUGUCCCUAAGAAAUUACAAUAAUUUAAACUUUUUGCUAUUAA